rnacentral:rRNA from 1 species
UUUAAAUAGCUGCAGUAAUUUAACUGUACAAAGGUAGCAUAAUAAUUAGUCUUUUAAUUGAGGUCUAGAAUGAAUGGUUUAACAAGAAAACAACUUUAUUAAUUUAAAAAAAUUUUAAUUUAAUUUUUUAGUUAAAAAGCUAAAAUUUUUAAGUGGGACGAUAAGACCCUAUAGAUCUUAAAUUUUUUAAUUUUUUUUUUUUUUUAGAUAAUUAAAAUUUUAAUUAUUAAAAAAUUUUAGUUGGGGUGACUUUAAAAUUUUUAAAACUUUUAUUUAUUUUUACAUUUAUUUAUGAAUAUUUGAUCUAAAAUUUUUGAUUGAAAGAAUAAGAUACCUUAGGGAUAACAGCGUAAUAAAUUUGGAUAGUUCAUAUUAAUAAAUUUUGUUUACGACCUCGAUGUUGAAUUAAUUUAAAAAUUUGAAGCAGAAAUUAAAUAUUUGGGUCUGUUCGACCUUUAAUUAAUUACA